CCCGACCCAUAGACAGAAACAGAGAUCCGGAUCAACCCAACAAACUCUAACACUAAGCAAAGUAACUGAAAACCCCUCCCAAGAAACCACCGAAUUGAGAAGACUUUCUGUUCUUGACGUUGUUGCCGUAGUCAACGCCCUCGCUGUCGCCGUCGUGGCAGCAGGUGGCUGCAAUGUCCCUCUUCUCAAAUCGUCACUGCUACGCUAUGUGUCAUCCCUC
rnacentral:lncRNA from 1 species